rnacentral:siRNA from 1 species
UUGGCGGAUUCCAUACUUGGU